CUUAUUACGUGCAAAGUCAUUCUUUGAAAUGCGUGUUUUAUUUUCUAUUCUAUAAAUAUUAAAUAUUUUUUCUGUAGUGCUCGUUAUUGUAUGAGGUAUGACCUCAAUGAUUAAUCGACGUCCGUUCGUAAGUAAGUAAGGAGAAACCUUUCAGAUUCAAGGAUCUGUGCAUCAUCAACCAUCGGAAUUGCGGACCGAUAAUCGCAGAGAAUUUAAGGAACCAAGUGUGAAUUCUUUAUUUCGAGACGAUUUUUGUAUUCCUGUUUUGGCUUUGUAUCGUGUGAUUGUACAUGAUUUGAUACAACAAUAACGAACCAUUUUGUUUUCACUUAGAAUUUGUCACUUAUAACACCUCACAUGCGUCAUGAAACCACAGAACAGAUGCUUCAGUCAAAUGUAUAUGCACGACUAUUAGUUCUUGGCUUGGCCGUUGGGACGUGGGUGCGCUGAGAUCUUGGAUCGCGUCUUUUACAUUACCCAAGUGGCAACGUUAGCAGUCCAUAGGUAUAUAGUCAAAGAUCGCAAUCAAUUCUAUACGCUGCAGUGACUAAAAAUGGAAGUUUUUUUGAUCAAUUAUUACUACUUCAAGAUGAAGUUCUGAUCUACUGAAGUUGAGUCUAUUAUUUUUGCAUAUUACAUUUAUUAUUUUAAUUUUUUAAAGCAGCACUUAAACUUUAUGACAAAGUUUCUUGGAAUUAAUAAUCGUAGGAUAAAAUCUUCCUCUUCCUUCAGUUAUUAAAAUAUAAAAAUAAAAUUAAAAAAAUUUUGAUCAGUUCAGCUGCAAUACAGGGCCGUGGAGCCAUCUAUCAGAGUUUGUUGGAAAGUGAGAACAGUGAUUUUUCUAGAGUCUCACACAUACAUACCCACAAAUUCUAAACACUCCGCUACGAAUCUUCAUUACUUUCUGUGAAAAAUGAGAUAGUAGUAUAACUCAAUGAUGGAUCAGUUGUACUUCACGUAAUAUGGCUCAUUAAUGGAUUAAAGAAAUAUUUAUAACCACUUUUGGGCUCAUAAUCUGAAGCAUCCGCCCUUAUAAGUUGAAUCUUCUCGUCUUUAGUCUUCAUGGCCGUGAGCUUGGCGAAGCUCACAUAACCUCACAUAACGGUAUCGAAUGCAAUGGCGUUCGACAAUGUUCGACAAGCAGCAUAUAUCAGUUACCCGAUAGAUGGAGAAAAGUAUUAGAAAAUGAUGGCGAAUAUUUCAAAGAUUGACAUAUUUAUUUAUUUUUUUCUAAAUAAAGACUCAAUUUUAAAAAAGCAGCGAAUUAAUUUGCGCAUCUAUUAUAUUUCUCGUACAAUUGCAAUUCCCUGAAUAUGUAGGAAAAUUUAUUUGAAACAUGUUUUAUGUCAACAUUUUUUAUAUUAAAACGUUUAAUAAGAAAAUAUUAUCCUACACAGAUUAUUCUGAAUUUUUUCUGUUCUUUCUCUCUCUCUCGAAGCUUUUUUAUCGUAAAAAGUUUGGCAUAAAGGAUGUUAAUAUUAAGUUACGUUGUUCUAAUAACAAUCGGAAAUUGGGAGUGUUAGUUUUAAUAGAAGAGUUUAUAACAAUUUGUAGCACAUAUCGUGUUUUAUUAUUUAUUAUAUUUAUAUUACACAAAAAUGUAUACUUAAUCGUAUUAUUGUAUUCAUCUCAAAUACAAUUCGCUGAUUUCUCUACCACUCCGUAUUAUUAAAUAGAGUUUAUAACCAAUAUUUUUCUUAAUAAUUAUUAACAUUAAACCAGGUCACAAAAAAACGAGUACAUCUAACCGACUCGGAAAAGAAGAGAAAUAUGUGGGACAGACAAAAGCCAGAGAAGAGAAUAGAGAAAGUGAGACAUACAGAGUCGGAGGAAGUCGAGAGAGAAAAAAUAGACUCUAAAACGAAUUAGACUUAAAAUAUACACGAAGAUCAGGAAUAAAGAGAUACCUAAAUCCUU